AGUGAACGCUGGCGGUAGGCCUAACACAUGCAAGUCGAACGGCAGCACAGUAAGAGCUUGCUCUUACGGGUGGCGAGUGGCGGACGGGUGAGGAAUACAUCGGAAUCUACUUUUUCGUGGGGGAUAACGUAGGGAAACUUACGCUAAUACCGCAUACGACCUACGGGUGAAAGCAGGGGAUCUUCGGACCUUGCUCGAUUGAAUGAGCCGAUGUCGGAUUAGCUAGUUGGCGGGGUAAAGGCCCACCAAGGCGACGAUCCGUAGCUGGUCUGAGAGGAUGAUCAGCCACACUGGAACUGAGACACGGUCCAGACUCCUACGGGAGGCAGCAGUGGGGAAUAUUGGACAAUGGGCGCAAGCCUGAUCAAGCCAUACCGCGUGGGUGAAGAAGGCAUUCGGGUUGUAAAGCCCUUUUGUUGGGAAAGAAAAGCAGCAGGUUAAUACCCCGCUGUUCUGACGGUACCCAAAGAAUAAGCACCGGCUAACUUCGUG
rnacentral:rRNA from 1 species